UUAUAUGAGAGUUUGAUCCUGGCUCAGGAUGAACGCUGGCGGCGUGCCUAAUACAUGCAAGUCGAACGAGUUCUGAUUAUUGAAAGGUGCUUGCAUCUUGAUUUAAUUUUGAACGAGUGGCGGACGGGUGAGUAACACGUGGGUAACCUGCCCUUAAGUGGGGGAUAACAUUUGGAAACAGAUGCUAAUACCGCAUAAAUCCAAGAACCGCAUGGUUCUUGGCUGAAAGAUGGCGUAAGCUAUCGCUUUUGGAUGGACCCGCGGCGUAUUAGCUAGUUGGUGAGGUAACGGCUCACCAAGGCAAUGAUACGUAGCCGAACUGAGAGGUUGAUCGGCCACAUUGGGACUGAGACACGGCCCAAACUCCUACGGGAGGCAGCAGUAGGGAAUCUUCCACAAUGGACGCAAGUCUGAUGGAGCAACGCCGCGUGAGUGAAGAAGGCUUUCGGGUCGUAAAACUCUGUUGUUGGAGAAGAAUGGUCGGCAGAGUAACUGUUGUCGGCGUGACGGUAUCCAACCAGAAAGCCACGGCUAACUACGUGCCAGCAGCCGCGGUAAUACGUAGGUGGCAAGCGUUAUCCGGAUUUAUUGGGCGUAAAGCGAGCGCAGGCGGUUUUUUAAGUCUGAUGUGAAAGCCCUCGGCUUAACCGAGGAAGUGCAUCGGAAACUGGAAAACUUGAGUGCAGAAGAGGACAGUGGAACUCCAUGUGUAGCGGUGAAAUGCGUAGAUAUAUGGAAGAACACCAGUGGCGAAGGCGGCUGUCUGGUCUGUAACUGACGCUGAGGCUCGAAAGCAUGGGUAGCGAACAGGAUUAGAUACCCUGGUAGUCCAUGCCGUAAACGAUGAAUGCUAGGUGUUGGAGGGUUUCCGCCCUUCAGUGCCGCAGCUAACGCAUUAAGCAUUCCGCCUGGGGAGUACGACCGCAAGGUUGAAACUCAAAGGAAUUGACGGGGGCCCGCACAAGCGGUGGAGCAUGUGGUUUAAUUCGAAGCAACGCGAAGAACCUUACCAGGUCUUGACAUCUUUUGAUCACCUGAGAGAUCGGGUUUCCCCUUCGGGGCAAAAUGACAGGUGGUGCAUGGUUGUCGUCAGCUCGUGUCGUGAGAUGUUGGGUUAAGUCCCGCAACGAGCGCAACCCUUAUGACUAGUUGCCAGCAUUUAGUUGGGCACUCUAGUAAGACUGCCGGUGACAAACCGGAGGAAGGUGGGGAUGACGUCAAAUCAUCAUGCCCCUUAUGACCUGGGCUACACACGUGCUACAAUGGAUGGUACAACGAGUUGCGAGACCGCGAGGUCAAGCUAAUCUCUUAAAGCCAUUCUCAGUUCGGACUGUAGGCUGCAACUCGCCUACACGAAGUCGGAAUCGCUAGUAAUCGCGGAUCAGCACGCCGCGGUGAAUACGUUCCCGGGCCUUGUACACACCGCCCGUCACACCAUGAGAGUUUGUAACACCCGAAGCCGGUGGCGUAACCCUUUUAGGGAGCGAGCCGUCUAAGGUGGGACAAAUGAUUAGGGUGAAGUCGUAACAAGGUAGCCGUAGGAGAACCUGCGGCUGGAUCACCUCCUUU
rnacentral:rRNA from 1 species